rnacentral:rRNA from 1 species
GAAUUCGCCCUUCGGUAAUUCCAGCUCCAAUAGCGUAUAUUAAAGUUGUUGCAGUUAAAAAGCUCGUAGUUGAACCUUGGCUCUGGCUGGCCGGUCCGCCUCACCGCGAGUACUGGUCCGGCUGGAGCUUUCCCUCUGGGGAGCCUCAUGGCCUUCACUGGCUGUGGGGGGAACCAGGACUUCUACUGUGAAAAAAUUAGAGUGUUCAAAGCAGGCCUUUGCUCGAAUACAUUAGCAUGGAAUAAUAGAAUAGGACGUGCGGUUCUAUUUUGUUGGUUUCUAGGACCGCCGUAAUGAUUAAUAGGGAUAGUCGGGGGCGUCAGUAUUCAGCUGUCAGAGGUGAAAUUCUUGGAUUUGCUGAAGACUAACUACUGCGAAAGCAUUCGCCAAGGAUGUUUUCAUUAAUCAGGGAACGAAAGUUAGGGGAUCGAAGACGAUCAGAUACCGUCGUAGUCUUAACCAUAAACUAUGCCGACUAGGGAUCGGACGGGAUUCUAUUAUGACCCGUUCGGCACCUUACGAGAAAUCAAAGUUUUUGGGUUCUGGGGGGAGUAUGGUCGCAAGGCUGAAACUUAAAGAAAUUGACGGAAGGGCACCACAAGGCGUGGAGCCUGCGGCUUAAUUUGACUCAACACGGGGAAACUCACCAGGUCCAGACAAAAUAAGGAUUGACAGAUUGAGAGCUCUUUCUUGAUCUUUUGGAUGGUGGUGCAUGGCCGUUCUUAGUUGGUGGAGUGAUUUGUCUGCUUAAUUGCGAUAACGAACGAGACCUCGGCCCUUAAAUAGCCCGGUCCGCAUUUGCGGGCCGCUGGCUUCUUAGGGGGACUAUCGGCUCAAGCCGAUGGAAGUGCGCGGCAAUAACAGGUCUGUGAUGCCCUUCGAUGUUCUGGGCUGCACGCGCGCUACACUGAUGGAUUCAGAGAGUUUUGUCUUUGGCUGAGAAGUCUGGGUAAUCUUAAGAAAAUCCAUCGUGCUGGGGAUAGAUCAUUGAAAUUAUUGAUCUUCAACGAGGAAUUCCUCGUAAGUACAAGUCAUCAGCUUGUGCUGAAUACGUCCCUGCCCUUUGUACACACCGCCCGUCGCUCCUACCGAUUGGAUGAUCCGGUGAAGACAUCAGAUGGAGUGAUACUAACCGAAUAGGGGAAACUUUGUGAGGGGUAUUGUCCAGAAGUUGUCUAAACCUUAUUAUCUAGAGGAAGGAGAAGUCGUAACAAGGUAAGGGCGAAUUC